GUGGAGCGUGCCUGCAAUCUCCUCCCCAGGUAAAGGGAGGAUUUUUAGAGUAGACCACAGUCGGGGUGUCCAAGGAGGGCAGCGAUCCUCCUCACCCCUGCCAACUCUGAGUACUGGGACUGUUCAAGAGGAGGUGCAGCCCUGAUGUGGGCCCAUCUGUUAUCCCCCUCUCUCCUCCACACAACCUCUGAGCUCCUCAGCCUGGAACCCUGGAAGAUUAGAGAAGGAGGAAAACUGGGAUCACCAGGCACAGCCCCUCAUCCCCAACCCCCUAUUUCCUGCUGAAGAUGCUGAGGGGGAGCAGUACUUGCAAUUCUGUGAGCCGGGGAGAGAUCUUACCCUGGUACAUGGUUAUGCCUUUUCCCAGGCAGUGACUGGAGCACAUGCGUGUGCCUGACAUGAGACAGGGCAGGGUCCUGUGCCCAUCAGGCCAGUUGUCAGAGGUUCUUCUUCAGUCACGACACUCUGCCAUCCGUCUCAUCCUGCCUCUUGCAGGGAGAGGUUGGGUGACAGCUGAACAGACAAAUUCACAGGGUCUGAAGCCCUACAAACUGCCCCGCCUGCCCUCUGCUUGCAGGCUAUGUAGGUGUUGGUUUGACAGCUGCCACCAGGACUGAGCUUCUGGAGUCAGUGGCUCUCACACCCAGAGUGACCUGAUGGGCAAUGUCUGUCAGAAAUUCUCUUGGCCAGGCACAGCGACUCAUGCCUGUAAACCCAACAUUUUGGGAGGUCAAGGCAGGAGAAUUGCUUGAGCCCAGGAGCUCAGGACAAGCUUGGGCAACAUAGGGAGACCCUGUCUCUACAAAAAAUUUAAAAAUUAGCUGGGCAUGGUGGUGCACACCUGUAGUCCCAGCUACUUGGGAGGCUGAGGUGGGAGAAUUGGUUGAGCCCAGGAGGUUGAGGCUGCAGUGAGCUAUGAUUGUGCCACUGCACGCCGGCCUGGGUGACCAGGGGAGCCCCUAUCUCAGAAAACAAAAACAACAAAAGAAGAACAUUCUCUCACUCUCUAGUUGGAUUCUUUCUGUAGUACUCGGCUAUCUGUGCUGGCCCCUGGCUGGAGGGGAGGGCAGUGGCAGAGGAGAUAGAGACAGGAAAAGGGAGAGUUGAAUGGGAGAGAGAGGGAAGUGGGAAAUGAAGGGGGAAGAGAGGAGGGGAGAGGAGAAGGUAAAUGGAGGUGACAGGUAGUGGAAAGAGGGGAGGAGGAAGAAUAGAGGAAACCAAUGGGCCAGAAAUGGAAACUUGGGCUUUUUCUUCUCACAGGCCCCAGAGCCUCCACACGGGGAGUAACCAGUCAGCUAACCCCAUUCACAUCCCAGAGCCCUCAGAGUCGGGUCUGGGUCUCAUCCACGUCACCCUGCACCGCUCCGUGUCUACAAGAUCCUUGGUCUGAAAUAGCAUGGGAGGCUCUGGAAGCUGUUGCAUUGCCCUGGGGUCAGGCUCAUUCUGAUGGCUACCUAGGAGGGGGGCAUUCCUUCAGGGUGGAGCCUCCUUGCUCUUCUCUACCCCCUCACAUCAGGCCACAGGCUUCACUCAUAGCUGUAUGUAAAAAGGAAGAAGAUGAGGCCAGGCAUGGUGGCUCACGCCUGUAAUCCCAGCACUUUGGGAGGCUGAGGCGGGUGGAUCGCCUGAGGUUGGGAGUUUGAGACCAGCCUCACCAACAUGGAGAAACCCCGUCUCUACUAAAAAUACAAAAUUAACCAGGCAGGGUGGUAGGCGCCUGUAAUCCCAGCUACUUGGGAGGCUGAGGCAGGAGAAUCACUUGAACCUGGGAUGCGGAGGUUGCGGUGAGCUGAGAUCGCGCCAUUGCACUCUAGCCUGGGCAACAAGAGCGAAACUCGGUCUCAAAAAAAAAAAAAAAA
rnacentral:lncRNA from 1 species